rnacentral:misc_RNA from 1 species
UUUCCGUAGGUGAGCCUGCGGAAGGAUCAUUAAAAAAAGAGAAACGUUCCGUUCUUUUUCAUAAGAAUGGGUUCUAUUCCCUUAAACCGUGUCUACAUACCUUUGUUGCUUUGGCAGGCCGCCUUCGGGCGUCGGCUCCGGCUGAUAGUGCCUGCCAGAGGACCCAAACUCUAUGUUUAGUGAUGUCUGAGUACUAAAUAAUAUUUAAAACUUUCAACAACGGAUCUCUUGGUUCUG